rnacentral:rRNA from 1 species
ACUCCUACGGGAGGCAGCAGUGGGGAAUAUUGGACAAUGGGCGCAAGCCUGAUCCAGCCAUGCCGCGUGAGUGAUGAAGGCCCUAGGGUUGUAAAGCUCUUUCACCGGAGAAGAUAAUGACGGUAUCCGGAGAAGAAGCCCCGGCUAACUUCGUGCCAGCAGCCGCGGUAAUACGAAGGGGGCUAGCGUUGUUCGGAAUUACUGGGCGUAAAGCGCACGUAGGCGGAUCGAUCAGUCAGGGGUGAAAUCCCAGGGCUCAACCCUGGAACUGCCUUUGAUACUGUCGAUCUGGAGUAUGGAAGAGGUGAGUGGAAUUCCGAGUGUAGAGGUGAAAUUCGUAGAUAUUCGGAGGAACACCAGUGGCGAAGGCGGCUCACUGGUCCAUUACUGACGCUGAGGUGCGAAAGCGUGGGGAGCAAACAGGAUUAGAAACCCCAGUAGUCCCA